UACGUAGGGCGCAAGCGUUGUCCGGAAUUAUUGGGCGUAAAGAGCUCGUAGGCGGUUUGUCGCGUCUGCUAUGAAAACCUAAGGCUCAACCUUGGGCUUGCAGUGGGUACGGGCAGACUAGAGUGCGGUAGGGGUGACUGGAAUUCCUGGUGUAGCGGUGGAAUGCGCAGAUAUCAGGAGGAACACCGAUGGCGAAGGCAGGUCACUGGGCCGCAACUGACGCUGAGGAGCGAAAGCAUGGGGAGCGAACAGG
rnacentral:rRNA from 1 species